AUGGCGACGGCGGUGCUCAGAUCCCACGACGCGCUCGCCAACCGGAUGCAUCUCGACGCCUUCGCCGCGUCCCCCCAGGCCGCCAAGCAGCGCCGCCGGCGCCACCCCAAGCCGGCCUCGCCGCCUCCCAAGGUGGUCGCGGUGGUUGCUGGCUCUUCGCCGCCAAAGCCGGCUCUUUUGGCGUCGCCGGCGACGAAGCAGGCCCCCGCGGCCGGCCGUCGGUCCCCGCCGGCGAAGCCUGCCCGCAAGCAGCCUUCCCCGACCAAGGAGAAGCCCCGGCAGCAGCCGAUCGUGAUGGAGGCCGUCCGGAUCCUCAAGCGCGGCGAGGAGCCCCCGGCUCCCUCCCCCGCCCCUGCGCCUGUCCAGGCACGGGCGCAAGCCCCGCCGGCCGACAGGCGGGUGCGGUCUCCCUCCCCUGCCUCACCGCCCGUCGUCAAGGCCCGGCCCCAAGCCCCGCCUGCGGACAGGCGCGUGCGGUCUCCUCCCCCAGCCACAGCACCCAUCCCGGCCCGGGCGCAAGCCCCGCCGGCCGACAAGAGGGUGCUCCGGACCACCAGCCGGAUCGGCCCGCAGCAACCCGCCGUCGUGCCAACCAAGAAGAUGGUGCCGCUCGCCGUCGCAGCCAGCUACGCCGGCCCGGCGUUCUCGGCCGCGGCCCCGGAGCCGAGCUCUCUCCCCCUCCCUGGGUUCUUCUUCCGCCGCGCCGAGGAAGAGGCCACCCGCGGCCUCCGCUGCCUGCUCCGCAUCGGCGAGCUCUCAUGA
rnacentral:rRNA from 1 species